CUGAGGAAGUUACGUUGAAACAUAUGGCAUUUCAUGAUACUUUUAUGGCUGUCUCAGUAUUAUAUAAAUGCUGUAGCUUAAGUGAUAUUAAUUCUGUAUACAUUUUACUGAGGUUACAGUCUAGCUUGCUGAGGGUGGUAUGAGCCAUCUCUGAGGUGGGACUCCAAGGCACCAGGCCAGCAGCAUCCAACUUCUGGCUUGCCUGGGCCUCACUGAGUGAAAAGGAUUUGCCACAGGCCGUGUAUGCAGCGGUCACACCGAAAGUAGUGCCUCCUAUUUGCCUCCAUGGAAAUGACAGCAAACACGAAGCACAACGGCAGUGUUUGUUAGGGCAGAUUCUCAGCUACAAAGCACUGUAGGUGCCCCACUGUUGCUGUCACCUCUGCUGAGGAGGGUGCAAGGGUGGAAUUAAUCUUAAAAAAGUAUGGAUGGAGGUCAUAUAUUAAAAUAAACAUUAUAUUUGCAUUUUAUAUUCAUGCCAUAGGCCUAGAUUUUCUGUUACUUUCAUUUAAUGCCUUCUGCAUGGCAACAAACAGACAAACAAAUACAUAAAGAGAGAAAAGAAAAUGAGAGUGUAAUGUGCCCUAUGGUGCUCUGGUGAGAGUGUAAGCUGAUGAUUGGCACGACAGCGUGAUCGUGGCUGACUUCGAUUUUCCAUUACAGACAAUGAAUGGUUGUCUGUCUGUCUGAAGAACAAAGGGAUGAGCACAUAAGUCUUUAAAGAUUUUGAAAGUCUUCCCAGCUGUCUCUGCCAGCUCCCGUGGACAGGAGAUGAUUAAUAUUGAUUAAUAAUACAUCCCGAAUUAAUCAUUACAAGAGAAUUGUUUUGCUCAGAUAAGCAAACUCUUCCUACUCGGGAGUGACAGACCGGUGCGUUUUGAUUGUAUCUUUGAGCUGAGCGUCGCUGCAAAGCAAAAGUGUAAUGAUGGAUAUGUCUUUAUCAACCUGUUCCCUGCAUUGUGUCUUUAUCGCUGCCAUCUGCUCUGCUGAGAGUGGCAGCUGCCAGGUCUCACAAAUAGCACUACCAUGUACUUUCAUGUAGAACAACAUAUUGUCGUAAUUUCUCUGAUAUUAUGAGAUGGAAUAACUUUCCAUGAGUUAAGGUGACAUUUUGCUUGGUGCUUUGGAAUGCAUAUUACUGCAGUGUGUGUAGGACACACAGUGUUCCUUCUGGAGCAGGCUAUAAAAGCACACCCAGUCCUACUUCCAGAAAUCAUUGGAAAAUGCUUCUUUUUCCAAAAAUGUUAUGAAACACCCAUCUGGGACAUACGUGUCAGUGCUAAGAUGCAAAUGAGACAUAUUCGCUAUUAGUGUAGCUCACUGUAUGCAGCCUUGGUUACCUUUGUUGGAUGGAACUUUUCUAAGUCACGCUAUGUUAAAAAUACAGUUAUUUCCUUCUUUGCUUAUAUUGGUUUGAAUCUCCUUUAUAUUUGCAAACACGUUCCAACGGCUUCUUCAACAUUAAAGGAAACAAACAAUCUGUAUGGCAGUAAGUUCUCCUUCUGUUGUUACAGCUCGACCCAGGGUGGGGGUUUGAUUUCAUUUCAUGAGGUGUCCAGUGUCAGCUACUCCUCUGGGCUCUUGAGAGAUUGGAAAGAGGUGUCUUCAACAUGGACUUUGCCAUAGCAUGAUAGAUAUAUCAUAUCCUGAGAUAGGAUGAUUAUGGCAGACAGGCAAGUGGAAUAAAUUAUUCUCUGUGGGUGUCUGUUUCUCUCCUCAGGCUACAGAAGGAAGCUAAAAGACUAACUUAGAUGACCUCCUUGCUUUUCAGGCAGAUAAAUGUAGGUGAUCUGAAUCACAUACUGAAUAUUUGCCAAGGCAUCCUCUUGUUCUGUGCAUCUGCUUGUGCAUUAAGUGUAGCAAAAUAUUUGGUAUAGUCCAUCUGCACGGAGAUGUGUCUGCUAUCUUAAAAGUAAAGAGAUGUAUUCUCUUACAUAUUUAACUCAUUUUUUUUGGACCAAGAUGACCAGAAAACCAGGCCAGAGAAAAGCCUCUUGGUAUCUAAGCGAGGCUGUAUACUCUAGAAAUACUGGAAAAGUUGCAUUUUGCUCCAGUAGAGCAUUCCAAGAGCUGGUAAAGGCUCCUGGCUUCAUCCUGAUCUUGAGCUUAUAUCAGACCACCUUUUUAUCCCAAGGGUAAGAAAGUCCUUUUAAUAAAUUACUCUUUAUAUUAUGCACGUAUACCUUGAGAAGAAGAAUAUAUAUGUAAACACUUUUUUCCUUCCUCCCGAGAUUUACUACACCCAUUGGAAACUUCUGUUUGAUUUAUCCUCCAGACUGGGGCUAUAAAUGCUGCAUGAAUUUGUUUUUGUACUCUGUUUUAAGUAUAUUUAGAAGUGUACACAGUUAUUUGUGCUCAUACAUCACAUUCUUAUUAAUGAGCAGAGUAUAAUUAUCGGUCGUAUUGACUUUUGUUUCUCUGGAUGUUUUAAAAAGAUAUUUAAAAGGCUUUGCUGGAGUUUGCAUCUGCUUCAGAAAUUAAAUUUAGUCUGUGAUUUUAUUACCCUUUUUAUUUAAUUUAUCUUAACUGUUGCUUUCAAGCUGUGAACCAGCUGUUGACUUUGAAAAAAAAAAAAACAUUGUUCAAUUUGAAAGGAGCAUUUUAAAGCUUAAUGUAAUGGCUGUAAGUAAUCACUACAGCAAUUAUAUUCUAUGGUGUUGUGCGUCACUAUAAUAAUACUGGAGGUUGUGAGAAAAUGCAAGAGAGAAACACAUCAAGCUCAGACUUUUCAGUGUUGCCUGCGAUGCCUGCUGCCUCUCUGCUUUGUAUAUAGUUUGGUGCCACUUGGCUUAAAUCAUAGCAGAAAAACUGAAGCUCCAUUCUGUUGUGGUGCUGUGUGUGCCCAGCAGGAAACAGGAGGCUUUUUCUUAGCCUUGUUCUCUGUCAUUCUUUUCAAAAUGGAAGUAUUUUUUUCUUUCUCCAUACUGGCAGACUGCAGAUAGAUGCUCGCUGCGGUGGCAGGAAUGCCUGCUGCUCUGCUGCCUCCUCCUGACUAGAUCCAGGAUGUUGUAUGUGACACUGAGUGGAAUUUGGGUUUUGGCUCUUCUGGAGCAACACCACCACCCACCUUGCAUGGUGCGAGUGGUAGCAAAGCUCCUUGUGGAGCAUCCAGAGGGUCUGGCCGGAGCUGGAGUACUUGGCAUCUUGCAAAGUCAGGUCACACUGCUAUUUAUUCUUAAAAUGAGCAGCUACUUGGCAAGGUGAGGAGAAAUAAUAGAAAAAGUUACGGUUGUGUUUUCAUCCAUGCAAUGGAAAGAGAUAUCCUCCAUUUGUGAGCUCUCUGGUUCAAGCCAGCUGGGCCUGUUGGGAAACUUUCUGGUCCACUGCAGAGAAGAUAACAGAAGCAGCAUGCAGUCAGAGCCCCUUUGUGUUGUAACAAACCAUGAAAGCGCUGUGCAGAUUCCUCUGCCCUGGAAUUUCUCCCUGUGGUGAUUUAAAAGGAAAUGUAAUAUGCAUCAUUGUUGGAGUGGGCUGCAUUUCUCAUGAAGGCUGUGUUGCCAGCAGCAGAAGCCAGAUCUAAAGAAAGGAGACAAGUGCCUUGCUGUAUGGAUGUCAGAUUCCACUGGAAGUCAGCAAGUGAACCCCUGAUCUGGAGAAAAGUAUUCCAAAGCAAGAAAAAACCCAGACAUUCACCACUGAGCCUCAGAACGGCUGCUGGAAUAAGAAAAUGCAGAACAGUGAUUUGAACAACAGAACCUCUGAGCUCAGCGACUGGAAUUCCCAAUUACAGACAUACUGCUGUUUCUCCUCCCUCAACACAGAUGUUUAGCUUGAUCACUCCCCCAAGCCCAGUGAGACAAGCUCUGUGAAGGAUGCGGAGCUAUGCAUGCUCCGACAGCUACAUCAAAGGCCGGGCCCAGCCUGCACCUCAGCCACCAGUCUGGAGGAAAUCAGAGACCCUCAUUAAAGUUUCAGAAAAACCUAA